UACGUAGGGUGCAAGCGUUGUCCGGAAUUAUUGGGCGUAAAGAGCUCGUAGGCGGUUUGUCGCGUCUGCUGUGAAAACUCGGGGCUUAACCCCGGGCCUGCAGUGGGUACGGGCAGACUAGAGUGCGGUAGGGGAGACUGGAAUUCCUGGUGUAGCGGUGAAAUGCGCAGAUAUCAGGAGGAACACCAGUGGCGAAGGCGACUACCUGGCCUGUUCUUGACGCUGAGGCGCGAAAGCUAGGGGAGCAAACGGG
rnacentral:rRNA from 1 species